rnacentral:rRNA from 1 species
AGCGAACGCUGGCGGCAGGCCUAACACAUGCAAGUCGAACGAACCUUUCGGGGUUAGUGGCGGACGGGUGAGUAACACGUGGGAACGUGCCUUUAGGUUCGGAAUAACUCAGGGAAACUUGUGCUAAUACCGAAUGUGCCCUUCGGGGGAAAGAUUUAUCGCCUUUAGAGCGGCCCGCGUCUGAUUAGCUAGUUGGUUGAGGUAAUGGCUCACCAAGGCGACGAUCAGUAGCUGGUCUGAGAGGAUGAUCAGCCACAUUGGGACUGAGACACGGCCCAAACUCCUACGGGAGGCAGCAGUGGGGAAUCUUGCGCAAUGGGCGAAAGCCUGACGCAGCCAUGCCGCGUGAAGGAUGAAGGUCUUAGGAUUGUAAAAUUCUUUCACCGGGGACGAUAAUGACGGUACCCGGAGAAGAAGCCCCGGCUAACUUCGUGC